AGUUUGAUCCUGGCUCAGAUUGAAUGCUGGCGGCAGGCUUAACACAUGCAAGUCUAGCGGGGUGAUGGUGCUUGCACUAUCACUUAGCGGCGGACGGGUGAGUAAUGCUUAGGAAUCUGCCUAUUAGUGGGGGACAACAUUUCGAAAGGAAUGCUAAUACCGCAUACGUCCUACGGGAGAAAGCAGGGGAUCUUCGGACCUUGCGCUAAUAGAUGAGCCUAAGUCGGAUUAGCUAGUUGGUGGGGUAAAGGCCUACCAAGGCGACGAUCUGUAGCGGGUCUGAGAGGAUGAUCCGCCACACUGGGACUGAGACACGGCCCAGACUCCUACGGGAGGCAGCAGUGGGGAAUAUUGGACAAUGGGCGGAAGCCUGAUCCAGCCAUGCCGCGUGUGUGAAGAAGGCCUUAUGGUUGUAAAGCACUUUAAGCGAGGAGGAGGCUACUUUAGUUAAUACCUAGAGAUAGUGGACGUUACUCGCAGAAUAAGCACCGGCUAACUCUGUGCCAGCAGCCGCGGUAAUACAGAGGGUGCAAGCGUUAAUCGGAUUUACUGGGCGUAAAGCGCGCGUAGGCGGCUAAUUAAGUCAAAUGUGAAAUCCCCGAGCUUAACUUGGGAAUUGCAUUCGAUACUGGUUAGCUAGAGUGUGGGAGAGGAUGGUAGAAUUCCAGGUGUAGCGGUGAAAUGCGUAGAGAUCUGGAGGAAUACCGAUGGCGAAGGCACCAUCUGGCCUAACACUGACGCUGAGGUGCGAAACCAUGGGGAGCAAACAGGAUUAGAUACCCUGGUAGUCCAAUCC
rnacentral:rRNA from 1 species